rnacentral:tRNA from 1 species
GACUCAAAGGGUAAAGAAUCUGCCUGCAAAGCAGAAGACCCAGGUUUGAUCCCUGGGUUA